rnacentral:rRNA from 1 species
UACAGAGGGGGCAAGCGUUAUUCGGAAUUACUGGGCGUAAAGGGCGCGUAGGCGGCCUCGAAAGUCUGAUGUGAAAGCCCUGGACCCAAUCCAGGAAGUGCAUCGGAAACUGCGGGGCUCGAGUGCAGGAGAGGAGGACGGAAUUCCUGGUGUAGAGGUGAAAUUCGUAGAUAUCAGGAGGAACAACAGUGGCGAAGGCGGUUCUCUGGACCGUAACUGACGCUGAGGCGCGAAAGCGUGGGGAGCAAACAGG